UACGUAGGGGGCAAGCGUUGUCCGGAUUCACUGGGCGUAAAGCGCGUGUAGGCGGCGCGUCAAGUCGGGUGUGAAAGCCCGGGGCUCAACCCCGGGAUGCCGCUCGAAACUGGCGUGCUUGAGGACGGAAGAGGGGAGUGGAAUUCCUGGUGUAGCGGUGAAAUGCGCAGAUAUCGGGAAGAACACCCGUGGCGAAGGCGGCUCUCUGGGACGGUACUGACGCUGAGACGCGAAAGCGUGGGGAGCAAACAGG
rnacentral:rRNA from 1 species